rnacentral:lncRNA from 1 species
UGAUGAAGUUCGAAGGAAGCUCGGAGUAAAAUCGAUUGUGGCUAGGAGAAGUCUAGAAGAGAUUUGGAGAAUAGUCGACCACCGUAGAGAAUCGGCUGAUAGUAAAGCUCAGAAAAGCAUUUGGAGCAGCCCGGUAGAUGAAUGGAAGAGCUCAUUGUCGAAGAAGUCUGGAUGGUAUUAUGAAAGCUCGGAUGGUCGAGGGAGAUCAGAAAGACACCACACA